rnacentral:rRNA from 1 species
CCUACGGGUGGCAGCAGUCGAGAAUCAUUCACAAUGGGGGAAACCCUGAUGGUGCGACGCCGCGUGGGGGAAUGAAGGUCUUCGGAUUGUAAACCCCUGUCAUGUGGGAGCAAAUUAAAAAGAUAGUACCACAAGAGGACGAGACGGCUAACUCUCUGCCAGCAGCCGCGGUAAUACAGAGGUGUCAAGCGUUGUUCGGAAUAACUGGGCGUAAAGCGUGCGUAGGCUGUUUCGUAAGUCGGGUGUGAAAGGCGCGGGCUCAACCCGCGGACGGCACAUGAUACUGCGAGACUAGAGUAAAGGAGAGGGAAGCGGAAUUCUCGGUGUAGCAGUGAAAUGCGUAGAUAUCGGGAGGAACACUCGUGGCGAAGGCGGGUUCCUGGACAUUAACUGACGCUGAGGCACGAAGGCCAGGGGAGCGAAAGGGAUUAGAUACCCCGGUAGUC